AUGUAUAGCAAUAGCUAGUUGCAUCAUAGUAAAUAUGAUGCAAGAUUGACUGUGUUGAAUAAAAUUCUAGGUAUGAUUAUGAUAAUGACAUUGUCUGCCUAUAUGUCUUGACCAAAUUACGUGCCAGCAGUCGCGGUAAUACGUAGAAGAUUAGUGUUAUUCAUGUUUAAUCGGUUUAAAGGGUACCUAGACGGCAGAUCAAGCUUUCCGAGCAGAAAAAAGUAAAAAAGGACUAAUUUGCUAGAGUUACUUGCGGUGGGGUUUUAAAGUACUGCUGGUGUAGAGAUGAAAUCCUAUUAUACCUAAGUUCGAAAGAAUAAUAAUGGCACAGGUAUAGGCGAAGGCAUCCCCUUAUGUGAUAACUGACGUUGAGGGACGAAGGCUUUUAACAGCGAACGGGAUUAGAUACCCCAUUAGUGGAAGCAGUAAAUGAUGAAUGUCAUAGAUUAGCUAGAUAGGUUCAUUCUAUAAAUGAAAGUGUAAGCAUUCCACCUCAUGAGUAAUAUGGCAACAUUGGAAUUGAAAUCAUUAGACCGUUUCUGAAACCAGUAGUGAAGUAUGUUGUUUAAUUUGUCGGCCCUCAAAAAACCUUACCACAAUUUGAAUAUAUAUAUUUUUUUUAUUGCAUCGCUAUUAAUUUUUUUCUCUUUACACAAACAAGAGAUAAUCGCAUAAAAGAUGAAAUAUAUUAAUAAAGAGGCAAUAAGAUAUAUUUACAAGUGCUGCACGGUUGUCUUCAGUUAAUGUCGCGAGAUUUUGGUUAGAUCCAUUAAAUUAACGUAAACCCUUACUUUAUUUUUAGAUAGAGUUGUUCCCCACUAUAUUGGAUACGAUAACAGGACUAAGACAGCCCUCAUGGCCUAAAUAUUG
rnacentral:rRNA from 1 species